GACUUUUGGUAAAUCACCUUUUGCCGUUUCCUUUGUCCCCGUGAAGCCCCCCCUGGCCGCCCCCUCCUCAUUCUGGGCUGGCUGGCUGAGGGGGGGGGCAGCCUGAGGGCUGCGACGUGGCAGGUUUCUAGAAUGUUCUAUUGAUGGCCGCAAGAGGGCGCUGGUGGCACUGCGGAAUUUUGGGGGGCGGGGUGGGGAGGGAAGAGGAGGUGGCCUUUGUUCUCCUGCAGGAGGGGGUCGGGAGCGAGAUGGGUUGCGGGACCAUGGGUUCAUUUACCUAUGGGGAAAUGUUAGUAGAUACCUGGAUUCACUAAGGUGCGCUUGCAGGACUUACAAUAGGUCAGAGAUGGCGUCAUCUGCAGUGGCUGUGUGAUUUAGGGUGUCAUGGACGCAGAUUAAUUUAUUUUCAGUGAUUUGUGUUUUCUGGGGUCUUAGAAAGGUGUGGCUUUUUGAGGAAGAAUUGCAAAAAAUAUUAAUUAAUUAGGCGUCAUCCAUAAGGGUCUUGAGAGUUGACGUGGCAAAGGGGGGGCAAGGUUUUGAGGAGAAGGGUGUUAAUUGGGUGGGGGGAGGCAGGGUGGUCUGCCUUUAUUUUGUCAUAUAGCUGAAGACCUCAAAAAUGAGUGUUCUGUAUUAAGAAUUGAGUCUUUAAAUUUUAAUUAUGCUUAAUUGGAUUUACUAAUGGUGGGUGGGGGCAGCGUCCUGCUUUUACUUAUCAGGAGUAGAAUUGUGGUCUGGGGGCAGCCCCUUACUGCAGGGUCUCUUUGGUGCAAGGCGGCUCCUGGAUGCCUGUGUGUGUGCUGCGUCAUGUCUGGAAAAUGGCUCAGGCAGAGGCGAUGGGGGUGCAUAGCGACCCUUAAAGAUGGCUGAUGUGGGCUCUGCCCCCCCCCCCCAAGCCUGAAACCUGUUGGGCGCCCUCCCCCCUCCUACGUCAGUCUAGCUCUAGCAGCUGCGUCCUGGCGCCUGUGGGGGUGCCUCAGGUGGUUGGGCUAUUGGAGUCUUAGUGAGUGCGGGCCGCGCGCCCCCUAGCGGUCUCUAUGUGCAAAUGGUUCUUGGCCUGCCAGACUAGCGCUAGAGUUGCGCAUGCGCACACAGCUAACACUUGUGACCUGUCAAUCAAUUCAUCUGUACCCCUCCCAUUGCUGUCCUCCCCUCCCAUUUCUCCUCCUACUUCUCCUCCCAUUUCUACUUUCCCUCUUCCCCCUCCCAUUUCUGUUUUCCCUCCUCCCCCCUCCCAUUUCUUCUCCCUCCUCCCCCUCCCAUUUCUUCUCCCUCCUCCCCCUCCCAUUUCUCCUCUCCCUCUUUCCCCUCCCACUUUUCUCCCCUAUCUUCCCCCUCCCAUUUUUCCUCACUUCUUCCCUCCUCCCACUUCUCCUCCCUCCUCCCUCCUCCUUUCUCCCCCCCACCCACUUCCCUCAUUCCUCUUACCCCUCCCUUCCUCCUCCUUUCUCCUCCCGCCCCUACCCAUUUCCCUCAUUCCUCUUACCCCUCCCUUCUCUUCCUUCCCUCCACCCCAUCCCUGCUUCUCUUCCCUGAUCCCUCCCACCCCUCCCUCUUUCCCCCCAAGCCUUCCCCUCCCUUCUCUCCUCUUUCACUUGCCCCCUCCCUCUCUAUGCUGUUCCUGGGCUGGCCGUUAGAGGUCAUCAAGGUGGUUUCUAACAACCCCCUCCCAUAUCCUAGGCUCUCUCUUCAGGGAUGACAUCAUCGGCUCACACCAGUCUUCCAGGACCACCUUCUGGAUGCCAAGGCUGCUGCUCGAGUACCUGCUGUGCACCUCUACCUCCUGAGCCAAGGAGCACGGAUUCCAGGAACCCACUACCAUACAGAGCAACUCCUUGUGGACCCCCCUGGGAUCAGGACAGCGAGGGACAAGCGACAAAGAGGAUCAUCAGUGGCCAGCUAGUUUCUCUGGGGUUCAAACCUUGAACCAGUGCCCUAGUGAGGGGGCACUGGCCAUGGCCCUUGACCUUUGCUCUGCUUGUGUCUUGAGUCUGAGCCCUUUCCUGUACAUCUGUGCUCGUGUUCAUCUGCUAGUGAACUGGAGUGCUGCCCUCCCCGAGGAGGGUCGUCCCUUGUGACUGAUCAUGCUGUCCUAACAAUGUCCUGAGCAAAAGGGUCCCUUUGGGAACCUCUCAGGAGGGGGACCCGGGUCAGGGGCGACCAGCAUCUUGCUGGCAACUCCGUGGGUGGGGUGGGGUGGGGUGCUUCCUUCUGGAAUGAGCACGUGGCUGACCCCCCAAGGCAUGUCCCCUCCCCCUCCUCCACCCACCUUCUCGGAGAUGUCCCUUUUGGGGUAGUGGGGACAUUAGGAGCAACCUCCUAGGGUUGUUGUGAGAAUUAAAUGAACUGCAGCAGCCUGAGGCAGGGCUGGGCAGAGACCUCAGCACAUGUUUGUUGAAAGGUUUGCAGGUGGAUCUAGUCCUCCCGUUCAUGGCUCAUGUGUCUCAACCAUUCUCUCGCAGACUCCUGCAGCCCCUAUGCCCAGGGCUCUCCUUGCGCCAGCCCCGGCUUCUCGAGGCCUGUCUACACUCGCUGCUUUCCUUCCUCACCUCCAAUUUCCCCUCCAACCCACUGCUUCCUGACUCGCUCUUCUCCAUCGAACGGCUCUCGCUCAGGCCUGUCGCGUCUUCCUGUGCCAUUUGCUGUUGUGCUCAGGUUCCACGAGCUGCCCAUCUCCACAGAAGAGCAGCUGGCAUUGCCCACCGGCCAUGCCGGCUGAAGAAAAGAAGACUGAGGACCCCAGGAUGCCCAGCGCGAGGACCCCAGGAAGCCCAGCGCGAGGACUCCACCCACGACGCCCAGCGCGAGGACUUCACGCACAACACGUUGCAACCCUCCUGGAUUAGGCCAAAGCCAUCAUCUGGAAUCCUGCGUGGGACCCUGGACACACGGACACAGACACCUGCCCCCAGGACCCUCCAACUGUAAAUCGAUUGGAAGCGCCCUUGUGAGCUGGGGCCUUCAAAGGGCUGAGGAGAAAAUGCAGGCCGAGAGACCAGCUUCUCAAAUAGGCUUCAAGCCUCCAUGACCUGAGCUCACCCCCUGGAAAUGUCUGGAAAACAUAAUGGGCAGGUUUUCUGUCUUCAAAGUUUCCAUCAAAACCUCUUCAAGUUCUUUAUUGUUUAGGACUGAGACACUUGGGGACAGUAAUGGGGACUUUCUUUUGUAUCUGUCUUGAAAGGCCAAAAUAUUUUUAUAUUGCUGUAGACAAAGCCACCUAUUUACAAAUGGACUCUUGUUCCGUCGUUUCCCACCAGGAAGACCGUACUAUGUUUGUGUCUCUAUGUAUUCUGGGGUCUUGAAACAGGUUUCUCAUGGGGAUGGCCAUUCACUAGAGCCCAGAGGGGCAGAAGGGGAAGUGUCUACCCUGCCAAGGGGGUCUGGGGAAGGAGGGGGGCUAGUCUCAGAUUUGCUCCUUGUAUGUCUAGGGUAAACCCUGGGAGAAUCUGGUGGUAAAAGAACAUAUGCUGUGUUUGCCCCACAUCUGCCAUUUGUGUGUGUUUCUGGGCUACGGGUUUGCACACUUUGGUGGUUAACAUGGUGGGAGGAAGUAAGAAGGGCCAAGAGGGCACGGGUGCUCUGGUUUUCCUGCUGGGAGGCUGUUUCACUGGUGUGUGUUACAUCACAUAAUGCAUGUUUAGCUGGGUGAGUGACAACAGUAUGAAGGGACAGAGAAACAAAUAGGUGUAGAAAGAGAGUCACAGAGCACACAGUCACCAUUCUGUGCCCAGGCGUUCAUUAAAUGUUCAAUAGAAUGCUGAGCUCUGAUAGACAGAGCGGGCCAUGGACACACUGGUAUUGGGUCAUCAUGGACCUAAGGAGUUUUUUUAAUUGAAGAAGGAAUCUUACAUAACAGAAGAAAGAAUAAGAAGAGCUGUCAAAACGAGCUCUGAGGUUUUUGAAGCCCCUUAAUAUAAACAGACAGACAAUGGCGUGAUCAGGAAAGGGAGAAAACAAACAAACAAACAAACAAGAUGCUUACAGAAAUACGAGAGGACGUGUGAGCAUGCAAAGAGAACCCAGCUAGGUUAGUAUCGGGGUGCUGGUGGAUCGUUAAUCCUGUCUGGGUACCCCAGCUCCAAGGGGAUGAGAGGCAGCAAGUGAGAGGACACAUAGGAAACUGUAACAAGACAGAGGCGAGCAGAUGGGGAGCUUCAGCGGAGUGUUAAGCUAGGCUUCGCAAUCUGACCACUUAACUCUCCCAGCAAAGAAAAGAAAGGCUUAAAUACUAAAAAGAAGGAAAGCUGGAAGAAAGGAUGGUAGAUGUGAAAGGCAUAGAGGAUAGAAAGCAAUAGGGAGUGGAGUGCAGGUGCUGUGGAGAGACGCUUGCAGGUGACUCAAUUCACCAGCCUGUGCAGCUGAGAAAGACAGCCAGUGACAAAGGAGAAGAAGAAAGGUAACAAUACACUCACAAAUAGGUAGAUGAAUGUAGCUGGAAGACGGGGCCUGGCUAGGGACGGGAUGAGAGGCUGUGUCAGCAGACUGGUUAAUUCCCAUCUGUGCUUCUGAGAUGGACAAUGACCCACCCGACCAAGAGACCUUUCAGGCAUCAAUAUGUCAGGGAGGGCUUCAAUGGGGCAAUGGAGGCGAGGCCCAUUAAUAGCAGAUUAUGAUGUAUCCAAUUAGGUGCACCUGCCCUCUGGAAGUGCAGAAACCAGUAUUGAAAUGGAAAGAAAGACUGAAUGGAAGUCCGAGAGUACAAAUGAAUGGAUGGGAAAAAAGAUUUGCAUUCGCUCUUAGGGGGAGGGUGCUGCUGAGCCCCAGGGUCAUCUGAUCUCCCGGAGAAUAAAAGGGCGAGGGAGUGAUAGAGAGUAACAAUAAGAUGGAGAAGAAAUGAAAAGGAGUACAGAGAGAAUAAGUGGGGACAAUGAAGUCUAGGAGCGCGGCUUGUUUAACACAAGUCAUCCAUAUUAAUUCAAAAUUGAGGCCCUGGGAUGGGAUGGGCUGUGUCCAAGGGAUGAAGCUGUUGCCUAGCAUGUGCCAAGUUCUGGGUUCCAUCUCCGCCUGGCAAGACAAACACAGGAAACAAAAUUAUAGCCCAGAGGUUGUAAAUGUUGUUUUUGAUGGUUUUGGGACAAAGAGCUAGAUCGGUUGGAAGAUAGAGAAAUAGGAAGAGGUGGGAAAGAGUUAGAUGAGCACAAGAGGAAGCAGCAGUUCUUAAGAUAAGUGUUUAAAUAUGGUGAAUGCGUAGCUCUUGGGUGUGUCAAGAUGAAAAUAACGAAAAGAAACAAGUUUAGGGAUGACGGCACAGGGAUGAGCGGAAGCGGUGACUUUAGUUAAUCACCGUGGCCAACUCAAGCCCUGUCAGGGAUUUAAAAAAAGGUACAAAGGCGAUAAAGGAAGACACAUGCAAUACGGAAGAGAGAGACAGGACAGACAGACACAGCGAAAAGGCUGAGGACAUGCCUGAGAGGGUCGCGAAGGGAUGAGAGAGAGAACAGCGAGAAUUCUGCUUAAUUCAAAACCGGGCUCCUGAGAUAGCUAAAUAUCUCCUGAGCCCAAACACCAGCACAGGAGAUUAAAUAACAAAAGAGCUGCAGGCAGACCCAAGUGGAGAAGGCUUGGGACCCUCAGAUCAGGCUUCAACUAAAUCUGUGCACCUGAGGUCCAUAAAUAAAAGAAUAAAUAUUGAAAUAAAGGAGUGACAGAAAGGAUGAAUGAGCACACAUGACUGAAUUAGAAAUGGAAAUGGCUAGAGCAGCCAGUAAGGAGUGGCCCAUGGGACUUCUGCUCAUCUUAUUCUGGGCACCUGAGGUCCCUUCGUGAGAAGAUGCAGGGAGAAGAGGGGAAGGGAAAGGCAUGAGAGCAAAUGAAAGAGAGGCGAGGAGAGGAAAUGAGAAAGUGGCAGAGAGGGGAAGCGAUCGGUGGGUGCCUCGGAAGAGGAAUGUCCACGAGGAUUAAUAACGAGGCUCUCAUUAAUCCUAAAGAUCGAUGAGGUAAUCCAGACCCAGGUUCUUAAGGGGAAGGAGAAUGG
rnacentral:lncRNA from 1 species